rnacentral:lncRNA from 15 species
AUUGAACCUUUUUAUCUUCUGAUUUCAUUACUCUGUAUUAUAUAUAUAUAUAUAUAUAAAAGUUAGUCCAUAAAGGACAAUGGCAGUCUCAGUGUUCCUGCACUCAACAUGCUGCCACCAACAACGUCCCCUUAAGACAGCAGCAUAAUCAGGAUUUUCCACUUGAGUCUGGACCGACUGGUUGAACGACAUGUUGAUGACUGGGAGGCUCUGAAUUCCUCUGGAGGAGUUUUUCUCACCAUCUUUACUUUCACUUCUGUCUUUGACCGAUGACAACCGACAGAACUUCAACUCAACUAAAGGUGGAAUGUAAUCGAUCCUCAGGUGAGUGUCAGAUCAGACAGCUUCUUAUUAUCACAGUAAGUAGACUAACUAAGCUGGAAGUAUCUCCGUUCAAGCACACAUUGUACUGGUCCACACAUUAACAUGGUCCAUGUGUCAGCCGCUCAUUCAUUAUUCAAUCUGUCAGCUUUAGAGAAAGGCUUUCUAAAUGGUGGUUUUAGGUGGGUGAGUUCAGGUGAGUUCAGGUGAGUUCAGGUGAGUUCAGGUGAGUCUGAGGCAGAAAUAAAGAAUAUCAUUGGAAAUAUUUUGUGUUAGUUCUCAAAUAUAUUUUUCAGUCAGAAUAUACUUCUAUAAAUAUAGAUAUUAAUAAUAUUUAACUUUAAAAAGUGUGCAGCACCUAUAUACUACGACAGUGUCUGCCUACUGUGUGAUAGAAUUAUUGAUGUAAAUCUGCUUAAAACAUCAGCAGAUGAAGAUGAGAGUAUGUAUGAAAAAUGUCUUUUUACACAUACCAUGGGAAGUGAUUGAGGACAUGUGUUAUUACAUAAGAUUAUUCAAACCUAACCUUUAAACCACAAACUACAGGUGGGAGGGUUGUUAUGUUUGUAUGACAGAGAUCAGAUGAACCUGUUCAACUGGCUGUUCCUCGACUCUUAUUCUAUUUUUCUUUGUCCUUCAUUAAUUUACUUCAGGUAAAGGGUGGACCUAUUCCCUGAACUGAGUAGAAUUUGUGCCAAAAAACUGUAAUCGAAGGCACAAAAUCAUCAAUUUUGGAAAUCUCAAACAACUGUCAGUAUUCUUAAAUGAGAAUCUACCAUCUUUUUCUCAAAGUUAAUUGAUCUGUGAUCUUACAAACAAAUCACUUUAAAGAAAUACAACACUGAGCUGAAGGCAAACUACCAAAAUGUUACUUAAACCACACCUUAAAAACCUGUUGAACACUGAGGAUGUGCUUCACUGUUACAAAUACAACAGUCUGAUUUUAUUUACAACUGUAUGUAACUUAAUUUGAUUAUGAACAAAGGGGGCUCAUAAGUAACAGUUCAAUUACAGUGUUAGUUCUCAAAGAUAUUUUUCAGUCAGAGUAAACUUCUAUAAAUAUAGACUAUCUGAAAUCAAAGUGUUUCUGUUUACAGCUCAGACAAAGGUUUUAUUCAAUCUCUCAACUUUCAUAUCAACGUUACAGUCGCCACUUUAGGUUUGGUUCAAAUGAAAAGAGGAGUUCAACAGACACAAUCAUUAAAGUUCCAUUAGUCGAACGAGUAGCCCAGUUUAUUAUCUUUAGAGGUACAUGUCAAUGAGGCAGCACAGGUACAUAUAGAAGUUGGAUUUAUUCAUGAACAACAACAAACUCUUGGCACACUGCCAACUUUAGACAAAAGACUUCAGGUAAAUGAUCAGGUGAGUCUGAGGAGGAAACGGACAACAAUAAACUAUACACAAGACAACGGAUGGUUUGGAAUCUAUUUAUAGUUAAUUGAAGGAAUUCUACUCUUUCUUCUUUUUCCUCCCAAACGAAC